GGGGAGGUGAAGUGACAACUUAACUUGAUGCUUGAUAGCUGUUUACUUAUAAAUGUGUGCCCAGAUUUCAGUGUCCUGUAAAAGAAAGGGGGAAUAAAGAAACCAAAGCAUUCAUAUGGCUUUUAGUGAAUUUAAGACACAUGGAAGAAAGUGCUUAGAAGGCUAUUGAAAUAUUUACAAAACAAAUCAUUUACAUUUAACUUUUGUAUAUGUAAAACCCAGAGUGCCUACAAGAAGACAGACCCAACUUUAGCUACAAGAAAUAUUUCGGCAUCAAAAUGGUUAAUAGUAUUAUAGCUUCAAAAGAGCCUAUUGGCUCACCCUCAAGGAUGCCCUGCAGUUGUUGUUAAAGUCAUCAGAUGAAGCUAGCCUUCUCAGCUAGCCUUUAGAUUUGUCUGCUAACAGUAAAAAUACUAUAAUAAAUCGGUAACAUAUGUUGCCAAGCAAGGAAAAGUGAUAUAAAUAAAGAGACUAGGAGACCCAAACCAAAUUGCAUUCUUACCCAAAUACUCUUCGUGAUUGCCUGCUUUGCGGCUUUGGGGUUCUUCAGGGAGUGGAGAACAUUCACGUGGAUUGACAUCCUAGUUUUCUCAUCAUGUAAGUAUCUUCUUGGUUAUAUGUUUUCUUUAAUUGUAUUUAUUCAGUAA
rnacentral:lncRNA from 1 species